ACGGAAGGCAGCAGUGGGGAAUAUUGGGCAAUGGGCGCAAGCCUGACCCAGCAACGCCGCGUGAAGGAUGAAGGUCUUCGGAUUGUAAACUUCUUUGAUCAGGGACGAAAUUUUGACGGUACCUGAAGAACAAGUCACGGCUAACUACGUGCCAGCAGCCGCGGUAAUACGUAGGUGACAAGCGUUAUCCGGAUUUACUGGGUGUAAAGGGCGUGUAGGCGGUUUGGCAAGUCAGAAGUGAAAUCCCCGGGCUUAACUUGGGCGCUGCUUCUGAAACUGCUUAACUUGAGUACUGGAGAGGAUAGUGGAAUUCCUAGUGUAGCGGUAAAAUGCGCAGAUAUUAGGAGGAACACCGGUGGCGAAGGCGAUCUACUGGACAGUAACUGACGCUGAGGCGCGAAAGCGUGGGGAGCAAACAGGAUUAGAUACCCUGGUA
rnacentral:rRNA from 1 species